rnacentral:lncRNA from 1 species
CAUAUAUUCAAAUAUAAACUGUAAUACAGUAAUUUCUCACUGUAGGUUGUAUUGUGGGAUAUUUCUAAACAUGAAGAAAAGCUGGAAAGUACAAAGCCUGUUGCUGAUGAAAUCACUGACUCGUCAGAGGGUGAGCCAAGAGCAGCAGUGGUGACUGAGCCAUCACCUAAGCAAGUCCAGCACAGUAGCACAGAGCCACAUCUAGUGAGACACUGUGCAGCCUCUUCCACACCAUAUUGUCAUACAAAGCCAGCAACAGAUGUACAAUGGCUACCACGUAACGAUGAGGAAAACCAAAAAGGCGGUACUUCUGAAAACAAAGAUGAAAAAAACCUGCAGCUUGUAACUUGCUCCCCUGAUUGGUAUGUACAAUACAUACUCUAUAAGACAUCUUCCAGUUUCCUUUGAAAAGCUUUAUCAGGCAUAAUCCAUGAUUUAACUGGCACAUUUCUGGAUUCCUAUCAGCAUAUCCUGAAUGAAAUUCUGUAUGCAGAAGACAAGGGCUUUGCAUUCUUGUCUAGUUAAACCCUUUACAGUAAAGGCAUUAAGAGUUUAUUAACUGAAACCCCUUGCAUAUAUAUGUUUAUAUUUUGUGUAUACCCCCUUCAGAAGAGUGCUGAUCACACACGUGUUAGCCUGGAAAGCCACAUCCCCACACUUUCAUUUGUUUGUGUGACAUGCACAAAAAGCUGUUAAAAGAUUCUAAGGCUUAUUUCUACAGAAAUACUUUAAACUAUAUAUAAAUUUGGAGACUUAGCUGGCAGAAUUACUCUUUGUGAGUCUCCUCUUUUGUGGACCAAAUAGUCAUGAUAGUUAUAUUAUUAUUCUGUGUGAAAGACUAGCAAGGGGAGCAGAAUGCAAAAAGUGGAAAUAAAUGUUUACCUUUCAGGAUGUCA